AUGAAGCAGAGUAUGUGAUCCUUGAAUGGCAUCUUAGAACUUCAGCGUCUAGCAACUGGAGAACCAGACCGUGAUCCAGGUCGAGAACCAGAUCCUCCCUGUGAAAAGAAGAAUAAAAUCAAUUUGAUUAGAAAGUAUGAAGAUAUCCAGGUUCAAAGCUGAAGAAAAUCCUUCUCCUCAAAUAACAUCACUCAGGAGGCGGAUCAUGAGGACUUGAGAACAAGCAUGACCCCUACUGGACACUACUAAUGAAAAUGUUCCAAGCUAUUGCACUGGGGCCACCACACAUCAUGACUGGGAUCCACAUGUGCAGAUAUUUCAAAGAACCACAGCUACCACAAUGAGAGAGAACUCUGUAAUAAUGGAAUGUUACAUCAAGAGUGUCUCCAACUCUCUCAACAACCACUCCAGUGUGCUGAGAUGGCAGUCUUUACCGAAUAAGGACCCAAUCCUGCUCUCACUGAGGUACUGUUUGCUGUUGAAAUUUUCUACUCCAGUCAUUCCUGCCCUUAAUUUGACAGAGCACUGAAGAUCAACCAAGAUGACAAUGGAAGUACCUUCCCUUUUGUUAGUACAUGACUACAUACUGACCCUUCAAGGUGAUCACUCUGUUUUAUUAUCAAUGUCUCCAAUGGCCAUCUCAGUACCUGAUGUAAGAGGUGAGGGAAAUGGUAUGUGCCACUUACAGUAGUGAAAGAGAGAAGAUUUUCCUUGCUGUAGUAACUUAAUAUCUAUUGCGUAGGAAAAAAGGAGCCUAAUCUUUG